AGGAGACAGUCCUUAGACUUCCUAUUGACUCUACACGGAAAUAUUAUAGGUAAUAGGACAUCAGAUCUGCGACUUAUGCCUAAAUGGUUCAGAAAUGUUAACAAGUGGGGAAUCUGGGCGGUGAUGUAUGAGAACUCUGCAAUAUCUAUAUAUUGGUAAUUCACAUGUAAAUUUUAAAAUAUUUGCAAAUUUUAAAACAUUAAAAAAAAAGAGUAUUGGCAUUAACAUUUGCUUUCAGGAACUUUCUGCUAUUGUCAGAUCCUAAUUCCCGUUACUAAUUACAGAUCAAAGAAGACUAAGAGUUUUGAAGACCAGAAUCUGAUUGAGGAUGAAUUUCAGAGUCAUAGAAUGACAACAACAGGCUUCACAAAUCUCGGAGCCGAAGGGAGCAUCUUCCCUAAAGUCCGAGCCACCCUCAAGGAGGACGGCCCCUCGCAGAACCCCUACUUGCACUCGCAGAAUCCCUAUGUACAGAGAAGCAUGCCCCUCCCCGACUACUAGGAAGGUAAAACAGUUGGAACCAUCCAGGGCCCGUAACUCAGUGUCUGAGCUUUUCUUUGACUAAGAGACUGGUGGAGCCGUGAGGAGCAGUGAAGACCUGGCCUGGUAUUGUUCUCCCACCUGACAUCCAGCCUCUCUGAGUGGAAGUUGGGAAUGUUGGCAAUGACGACAGCUUGUUUGCUAUCUAAGUCCCUAUGAAAUUAAAGACACUCAGAUGCUAUUAGCA